rnacentral:rRNA from 1 species
CCUACGGGCGGCUGCAGUGGGGAAUAUUGCACAAUGGGCGCAAGCCUGAUGCAGCCAUGCCGCGUGUGUGAAGAAGGCCUUCGGGUUGUAAAGCACUUUCAGCGGGGAGGAAGGCGGUGAGGUUAAUAACCUCAUCGAUUGACGUUACCCGCAGAAGAAGCACCGGCUAACUCCGUGCCAGCAGCCGCGGUAAUACGGAGGGUGCAAGCGUUAAUCGGAAUUACUGGGCGUAAAGCGCACGCAGGCGGUCUGUCAAGUCGGAUGUGAAAUCCCCGGGCUCAACCUGGGAACUGCAUUCGAAACUGGCAGGCUAGAGUCUUGUAGAGGGGGGUAGAAUUCCAGGUGUAGCGGUGCAAUGCGUAGAGAUCUGGAGGAAUACCGGUGGCGAAGGCGGCCCCCUGGACAAAGACUGACGCUCAGGUGCGAAAGCGUGGGGAGCAAACAGGAUUAGAUACCCGUGUAGUC